CAUUGCUACUUUUAUCAGUUUUAGCCAGUAAAAAGCCAAAUGUUCAUAUGUAGAAACUAAAUAAAAAGUUGCCCACAGCAAAGUCUAAGCCAUAAAAUGAGCCAAGUCAGCAAGCUAAGCCAAGUAAGCCGCAUUAGCCAAACCAAUCAGUCUGAGGGAAGUGAUGACGACCAGCUCCGCCAUGCGAAUCUUCCGGUUUAUCCAAAACCGCUGCCCGAUCGAGAUGUGAGCUACAGACCUGACGAAAAUGAGUUCACAAUGGUGGAGAAGGCAUCCUUGCGGAAUGCAUGGCGUUUAAUUGAGCCUUUUCAGCGUCGAUUUGGCAAGGAUAAUUUCUACAGCUUCCUCACCAGACACGAGGAUCUCAUCAACUUUUUCAGGAAAGAUGGCAAGAUUAACCUAAGUAAGCUGCAUGGGCACUCCAUGGCAAUGAUGAAGCUGAUGUCACGGCUGGUCCAAACGCUGGACUGCAAUCUAGCCUUUCGCUUGGCCCUGGAUGAGAACCUUCCCACACAUCUGAAGAAUGGCAUCGAUCCCGAUUACAUGAGGAUGCUGGCCACCGCCUUGAAAAGGUAUAUCCUUGCGUCUUCUGUUAUCGAAAACCAUAACUCCUGUUCACUAACCAAUGCUCUGACCCAUUUGGUGGAGAUCGUCGGGGAUUACGCCGUUGUCGACGUGGCCAGGAAAAGAGCCAUGUCCAAUGCCCUCAGGACGACUGUUGACGAGGGUGGCAAUCGAAUCGCCAAGGUGGCUUUAGGCACUUAAGCAUGAACAAAAGCAAUUCAAGUACCUAUAUUCUACAGACAACAUUGCAUGGAGUGAAAAGAAAAUGAAAUUAAAAUGGAAAAAUCUCUAAUGUGUGCCUUUUAUACGGGUUUACUUACGAUCAAGCUGUUUCCUGUGGCCAAGAAGUCUGUUUUGUAAACAUCAAAUUCAGGAGGCAAAAUUAAAAAUGUCCAAUUAAAUAAUAUAAAAGAAAAUAAAAAAACCAAUCCUUGGUUUUCCGAACCUUGCUAACCAUUCUCUUCCAAGACUCAGAUUGCCUUGCGUCACCGGACAAAAGGAAAUGCCUUUUUUUUGGAAAUAGUUCUUGCCAUGCAUCACAGAGGGACUGAAGCGAAUUGGCAACUAAUCUAAGGCCUCCGCACUCACAUGCAUAUAAAUCCAGCAACCACAGACAGAUUUCACCACAGUUGCAGGCGGUGACCGGGCAGGCACCUCAAAUUAAAUUAAGCCAUAAUUUAUUUCCCUUGGAGACGGGCGAGGAGACACCAGCCCACAGAGCUCAAAAUUCAGAUGGCCAACAAAAAUAUGGCACUAAGAGCUGCUGCUUCUGCUGCGGUUGAAACACACACACACACACUGGGGGAAAAGAGGAGCCAGCUGAGAGGAGGAUUUAUUGGAAUUCCAUCAAUGGCGAUGCAGGAACUCCUCUGCUCCCAAUUCGCAUGGCAGGCAUCCCACUGUGACCCGCACGAACUCUAACUGCAGGACAUGCUUUGGACAUCAGUGAUGCGAAGUGGCAAAUACGAAAGGAAGCUUCAUCAACCAAUAGGAACGGAAACGCUAGCCUUUUCAAAAACAUGUAAUGAAAAAGUAACUGAAUUUGAAUAAUAUUUGAUUACCUUUGUACAAAUGAA